rnacentral:rRNA from 1 species
GUGCAGCAGUCGCGAAACCUUCGCAAUGCGGGAAACCGCGACGAGGGGACUCCCAGUGCCUACGCUCAGCGUAGGCUGUUCCCGAGCCUAGAAAGCUCGGGGAGUAAGGGCUGGGUAAGACGGGUGCCAGCCGCCGCGGUAAUACCCGCAGCCCGAGUGGUGGCCACUAUUAUUGGGCCUAAAGCGUCCGUAGCCGGCCCGGUAAAUGCCUGGGUAAAUCGUGAGGCCUAACCUCACGAAUUCCGGGUAGACUGCCGGGCUAGGGGACCGGAGGAGGGAGAGGGGUACUCCAGGGGUAGGGGUGAAAUCCUGUAAUCCCUGGAGGACCACCGGUGGCGAAGGCGCUCUCCUAGGACGGGUCCGACGGUGAGGGACGAAAGCCAGGGGAGCGAACCGGAUUAGAUACCC